UUUGUAGGAUGAAAAGGUGAAUACAUAGCAACAUGCACCAAUAUUAAAUUUAUAUUUUCAUCUUUUGAUCCUAUG
ensembl:miRNA cin-mir-4024 cin-mir-4024